AAAAUAUAUACAAUACAACUGUGUAACACAACACAAAUCCCACAAACAAGAUUUAAAAACAAAAUCACAAACACCUGUACAUACAAUCAGCAAUAUCAGAAAAAAUGGUAUACUGAUUGUAUUCUGAUUUGCCAAUGAAAACAAAAGUAUAGCAAAAAAAAAAAAAACAAUCUGAAAACACCUAUGACAUCAGAGGAUCUGACGCGCAAAGCUGCUUCAGGAAUUAAAUAAUUUUAAUAACCCUGUUUAUAUCAUCAUAUAAGUCAAGGGACCUAAAUAUUCAAAACUUUCACAUAUGCAUA
rnacentral:lncRNA from 1 species